rnacentral:rRNA from 1 species
GACAGAGGUGCCAAGCGUUAGGCGGAAUCACUGGGCUUAAAGCGUGUGUAGGCGGACUCGUAAGUACCUUGUGAAAUCCCACGGCUCAACCGUGGAACUGCUUGGUAUACUGCUUGUCUUGAGCCACUUAGGGGCUGUCGGAACGAAACGGUGGAGCGGUGAAAUGCGUAGAUAUCAGGAGGACACCGGUGGCGAAAGCGGCUCACUGGACCAUAACUGACGCUGGAUGCGCGAAAGCUAGGGGAGCAAACAGG